GACAAGUCUUCAGGGGGAGACAUCUCACUUGCAAAGAAUCCGCCCAAGACUUCGGACCUCUCCUUCUGUAAAGCAUGGACUACCCGAUCAACAUAAAUACGAGUCCAUGGCCAGGCGGGAACUGUGACACUUGAAACAAAGGGACCCGGCUCGUGUGGUGUCACUCUGCUUCCGUGUGAUUGAUACAGGCCACAGCAGCCGCUUCAAACAACAACGGAUGUCCACUUCCACCGGGGGCUGCAGUGAGACAUAGCUACUGGGAUUUCCAAUAGUACCCACUGCCCUCUGACAGACACCUGCUACGUGGACCACAGCUCCACAUCUCUCCAUCUAGAUUCUACGCUACAGCAUGGUCGUACUGCAGUGAAACACAAUGUCUGGUGAUACCGCAUAACUAAUCUAAUCAUAUAGAAAUGUUUUGCUGUUUUUAUACCAGUAUAUUAAAGUAAGCAUAUAAAAAAUGUAUACGGUUUGUCAUGGCAUGAUAUACGCAAUUAGAUUAGAUUGUUAUUAGUAAGGAUGAUUAUUAUCUCAAUAAAUAAAGAUUUCAAUUGAAAAAUGUGUUUUAAAAAGGAUUAACGCGACAGGGUUGUUUAUAUGGCUUAAUAUUGGUUUAGACCACUUGGUAAUUCAGAUAUAGCAACUGUCAGAUGUACUAUCAGACAACUAUUGAGAUAAAGAAAAUCUUGAAGUGACUUUAAAAUACUUCAAAUUAUUUAAGGCAUGCUUGAUUUAGCUUGGAGUAUGCACUCCAGUAUUCCAUUGGUUUUUAUUGUGAACAUAAUCAAUUGCACCUCGAGUACUUGAAUGUAUUUGACACAGGUCUGGAGAACUGUGACAACCAAUCCAUGUCUCAGUUUCCCCUACUUUAUUGCCCAGCUCUAUGAAAAGCAGGAAGUGCAAAAUCGGAGCGUUACAGAGAGUUUGUCUCAGAACUAUUAAAGGAUAGUUCAUCUUUUCACAAGCAAACAUAUUUCAACCCUCUUAACAUGAUCACACCUGGACGACAAGUGCCUUCAAAAAGUAUUCACACCCCUUGACUUUUUACACAUUUUGUGGUGUUACAGGCUGGAUUUAAAAUGGAGUAAACAUAGUUUUUUUUUUUAUCACUGGCCUACACACAAUUCCCCAUAACGUCAAAGUGGAAAUGUUUUUUUGUUUGUUGAUUUUUUAAAACAAAUGUAUUAAAAAUGAAAAGCUGAAAUGUCUUCAGUAGUAUUCAACCUCUUUGUUUUGGCAAGCCUAA